UACGUAGGGUGCGAGCGUUGUCCGGAAUUACUGGGCGUAAAGAGCUCGUAGGUGGUUUGUCGCGUUGUUCGUGAAAUUCCCUGGCUUAACUGGGGGCGUGCGGGCGAUACGGGCAGACUGGAGUACUGCAGGGGAGACUGGAAUUCCUGGUGUAGCGGUGGAAUGCGCAGAUAUCAGGAGGAACACCGGUGGCGAAGGCGGGUCUCUGGGCAACAACUGACGCUGAGGAGCGAAAGCGUGGGGAGCGAACAGG
rnacentral:rRNA from 1 species